AGCAGCCGCGGUAAUUCCAGCUCCAAUAGCGUAUAUUAAAGUUGUUGCAGUUAAAAAGCUCGUAGUUGAAUUUCGGGAUUAGUACGCUGGUCAUGCCUUUGGUAUGUACUGGUGUUACUGGUUCCUACCUUCUGAAGAACCGUCAUGUCAUUAAUUUGGUGUGGCGGGGAAUCAGGACUGUUACUUUGAAAAAAUUAGAGUGUUUAAAGCAGGCUCGCGCUUGAAUACAUUAGCAUGGAAUAAUGAAAUAGGACGUUUGACCCUAUUUUGUUGGUUUCUAGGAUCGACGUAAUGAUUAAUAGGGAUAGUUGGGGGCAUUAGUAUUCAAUUGUCAGAGGUGAAAUUCUUGGAUUUAUUGAAGACUAACUACUGCGAAAGCAUUUGCCAAGGAUGUUUUCAUUAAUCAAGAACGAAAGUUAGGGGAUCGAAGACGAUCAGAUACCGUCGUAGUCUUAACCAUAAACUAUGCCGACUAGGGAUCGGAUGAUGUUAUUUAAUGACUCAUUCGGCGCCUUACGGG
rnacentral:rRNA from 1 species